AUGGAUCGUUUAAAGGUGAUUGAUUCUGGUUUGGUGGGUCACCUUGAUCUUCUUGCUGAAGUUCCGCUCGUUCCUCUUCUUGAUGUACCGGUGGAUCUUCUCCUUCCUCUCCUCCACGGAGAGGCGGGCGGCCUUGAAGCUCGUGUCCUCCAGGCUCGAGGUCUCUCCCGCCGCCGGCAGCCGCCCGGGGCUCCCGCUGCCUCCCAUCUAUACCACCGCGAAACGAUCGGUCAUGCUCUGUCCUACUACGGAUUGAGAUUCUUGGCGAAUUCGUUCGGGGUUUCUACCUGCAUCUCUGCGGCGGUAGGGAACGCCAUCUGCCCCGCGGAGUCGGCGUCCACCAGCGCGCCGCCCUCCAUCAUCCUCUGGUACUCGCCCAUCUCCUCCAUCCCCAGCAUCAUCGACAUCACGGUGCCCGUGCAACCGCCGCCGCCGCCGAAGAAACCUCCCUGGGUCGCGUAA
rnacentral:rRNA from 1 species